CCUAAGCCAAAUAUCUCUUUCUCACUCAUGCCAUCCAACUUGCUCGACAGUCCGCCACCAUCCAACUUUCUCCGACUGCCGCUGCCCAUCGCACCUUGGCCCGACCGGUGCUACCCAAUGCCAUCUUCAGGCCGCGCGCAGUAGUGGGUCGCACCUCUGUGUUGGAAGUUGCGCCGCCUAUAUCGCCACCGGUGGCGUGUCCAUCACCAUCUUGCGCAGUGGGUCGUGCAACUGCAGCCGUGGGUCGGUGCCGUUCCAUAUCUUCAACUCAAGGAAACACAAGAAGCUCAACAUUUAAAAAGUUGAUACAAGAUUUUACUGUUUUUUUCAUUAAAGUAGGAGAUAAGGUUUGGUGAUUCGAAAUCUCUAAAGUUCAAGUACAAUUAUUUUCUAUAAAGUCUGUGUAUCCACCUACUUGAUUUGUGUCCAUCUUGUGUUGAAACUUAGCUUUCAAUUUAGAAACAAUAUAUUUGUUAAGUAUAAGUA